UUGAGCCGUAUGAUGGGAAACUAUCACGUACGGUUCUUAGGGGGCGAAGGGUCAUGAGGCCCUUAGCUACCCGGU
rnacentral:ncRNA from 1 species